rnacentral:rRNA from 1 species
ACAGGGUGACAGCCCCGUACACAAAAAUGCACAUACUGUGAGCUCGAUGAGUAGGGCGGGACACGUGGUAUCCUGUCUGAAUAUGGGGGGACCAUCCUCCAAGGCUAAAUACUCCUGACUGACCGAUAGUGAACCAGUACCGUGAGGGAAAGGCGAAAAGAACCCCGGCGAGGGGAGUGAAAAAGAACCUGAAACCGUGUACGUACAAGCAGUGGGAGCCUCUUAAUGGGGUGACUGCGUACCUUUUGUAUAAUGGGUCAGCGACUUAUAUUCUGUAGCAAGGUUAACCGAAUAGGGGAGCCGAAGGGAAACCGAGUCUUAACUGGGCGUUAAGUUGCAGGGUAUAGACCCGAAACCCGGUGAUCUAGCCAUGGGCAGGUUGAAGGUUGGGUAACACUAACUGGAGGACCGAACCGACUAAUGUUGAAAAAUUAGCGGAUGACUUGUGGCUGGGGGUGAAAGGCCAAUCAAACCGGGAGAUAGCUGGUUCUCCCCGAAAGCUAUUUAGGUAGCGCCUCGUGAAUUCAUCUCCGGGGGUAGAGCACUGUUUCGGCAAGGGGGUCAUCCCGACUUACCAACCCGAUGCAAACUGCGAAUACCGGAGAAUGUUAUCACGGGAGACACACGGCGGGUGCUAACGUCCGUCGUGAAGAGGGAAACAACCCAGACCGCCAGCUAAGGUCCCAAAGUCAUGGUUAAGUGGGAAACGAUGUGGGAAGGCCCAGACAGCCAGGAUGUUGGCUUAGAAGCAGCCAUCAUUUAAAGAAAGCGUAAUAGCUCACUGGUCGAGUCGGCCUGCGCGGAAGAUGUAACGGGGCUAAACCAUG